AACACUUCAUGACUGAGAGCUGUCCUUCAUGACAACAGAACCCACAACAACCAUGACUUUUAUCACCAUCCUCAUCUGGACACUUGCUUUCUGCUUUCAAGAAUCCAGAGGACAGAUCACUGUGACUCAGACUCCUGCAGUGAAAGCUGUUCUCCCAGGACAGACAGUCUCUCUGAACUGUAAAACCAGCAGUAAUGUGUAUUAUAAUAACUAUCUAGCCUGGUAUCAACAGAAACCUGGAGGAGCUCCUAAACUCCUUAUUUACUAUGCUACAACACUUCAGUCUGGGACUCCAUCUAGAUUCAGUGGCAGUGGAUCUGGGAGUGACUUCACUCUGACCAUCAGUGGAGUCCAGGCUGAAGAUGCAGGAGAUUACUACUGUCAGAGUAGACACUACCCCAACAGUGUCUGGGUGUUCACACAGUGA